CCCUAGGGAGCGAAGCAAUUGGAAGUGGUUCCAAGAAAAGCCUCUAAGCUUCAGUCUAACGAUGACCGUACCGCAAACCGACACAGGUGGGCGAGAUGAGUAUUCUAAGGCGCUUGAGAGAACUCGGGAGAAGGAACUCGGCAAAUUGGUACCGUAACUUCGGGAUAAGGUACGCCCUUGUAGCUUGACUGGCUUGCGCCAGAAGGGUGAAGGGGUUGCAAUAAACUGGUGGCUGCGACUGUUUAAUAAAAACACAGCACUCUGCAAACACGAAAGUGGACGUAUAGGGUGUGACGCCUGCCCGGUGCCGGAAGAUUAAAUGAUGGGGUGCAAGCUCUUGAUUGAAGUCCCGGUAAACGGCGGCCGUAACUAUAACGGUCCUAAGGUAGCGAAAUUCCUUGUCGGGUAAGUUCCGACCUGCACGAAUGGCGUAACGAUGGCCACACUGUCUCCUCCCGAGACUCAGCGAAGUUGAAGUGUUUGUGAUGAUGCAAUCUACCCGCGGCUAGACGGAAAGACCCCAUGAACCUUUACUGUAGCUUUGCAUUGGACUUUGAACCGAUCUGUGUAGGAUAGGUGGGAGGCUAUGAAACCGGAACGCUAGUUUCGGUGGAGCCGUCCUUGAAAUACCACCCUGGUUUGUUUGAGGUUCUAACCUUGGCCCGUGAUCCGGGUCGGGGACAGUGCAUGGUAGGCAGUUUGACUGGGGCGGUCUCCUCCCAAAGCGUAACGGAGGAGUACGAAGGUACGCUAGGUACGGUCGGAAAUCGUGCUGAUAGUGCAAUGGCAUAAGCGUGCUUAACUGCGAGACCGACAAGUCGAGCAGGUGCGAAAGCAGGUCAUAGUGAUCCGGUGGUUCUGUAUGGAAGGGCCAUCGCUCAACGGAUAAAAGGUACUCUGGGGAUAACAGGCUGAUACCGCCCAAGAGUUCAUAUCGACGGCGGUGUUUGGCACCUCGAUGUCGGCUCAUCUCAUCCUGGGGCUGUAGCCGGUCCCAAGGGUAUGGCUGUUCGCCAUUUAAAGAGGUACGUGAGCUGGGUUUAAAACGUCGUGAGACAGUUUGGUCCCUAUCUGCCGUGGGCGUUGGAUAUUUGAAGGGGGCUGCUCCUAGUACGAGAGGACCGGAGUGGACGAACCUCUGGUGUACCGGUUGUCACGCCAGUGGCAUCGCCGGGUAGCUAUGUUCGGAAGAGAUAACCGCUGAAAGCAUCUAAGCGGGAAACUCGCCUUAAGAUGAGAUAUCCCUGGGGACUAGAUCCCCUUGAAGGGUCGUUCGAGACCAGGACGUUGAUAGGUCAGGUGUGUAAGCGCAGUAAUGCGUUCAGCUAACUGAUACUAAUUGCCCGUAAGG
rnacentral:rRNA from 1 species